rnacentral:pre_miRNA from 1 species
AGUGAGAUAGCUGGGUCAUAUGGUGUUUCCAUUCAAAGUUUUCUAAGAAAUCUCCUUACUCCUUUCCAGAGUGGUUGCACCAAUUUUCGGUCCCACCAGCAAU